AUUGAACGCUGGCGGCAGGCCUAACACAUGCAAGUCGAGCGGAUGAAGGGAGCUUGCUCCUGGAUUCAGCGGCGGACGGGUGAGUAAUGCCUAGGAAUCUGCCUGGUAGUGGGGGAUAACGUCCGGAAACGGGCGCUAAUACCGCAUACGUCCUGAGGGAGAAAGAGGGGGAUCUUCGUACCUCACGCUAUCAGAUGAGCCUAGGUCGGAUUAGCUAGUUGGUGGGGUAAAGGCCUACCAAGGCGACGAUCCGUAACUGGUCAGAUAGGAUGAUCAGCACCACGGGAACUGAGACACGGUCCAGCCUCCUACGGGAGGCAGCAGUGGGGAAUAUUGGACAUUGGGCGAAAGCCUGAUGCAGCCAUGCCGCGUGUGUGAAGAAGGUCUUCGGAUGGUAAAGCACUUUGAGUUGGGAGGAAGGGCAGUAAGUUAAUACCUUGAUGUUUUGACGGUACCAACAGAAUAAGCACCGGCUAACUUCGUG
rnacentral:rRNA from 1 species